rnacentral:rRNA from 1 species
UACGUAGGGUGCAAGCGUUGAUCGGAAUUACUGGGCGUAAAGCGUGCGCAGGCGGCUUUGCAAGACAGAUGUGAAAUCCCCGGGCUCAACCUGGGAACUGCAUUUGUGACUGCAUGGCUGGAGUGCGGCAGAGGGGGAUGGAAUUCCGCGUGUAGCAGUGAAAUGCGUAGAUAUGCGGAGGAACACCGAUGGCGAAGGCAAUCCCCUGGGCCUGCACUGACGCUCAUGCACGAAAGCGUGGGGAGCAAACAGG